UGAGAUUGAAUGUUGGAUGUGGAACUUACCUCAUGAACUUGUUGCCGUGGGGUAUCCCUUUGCCCAAUGCCUUCGUAUUGUUGUGUAUUCAAUGCACGGUUUGCAAAGAGUAUUUUGGCUGCCAUGGGUGUCUUAUCUACCAAAGCUCCUCCCGCCGAGGCAUCUAGUAUUUGACUUUCGAUUGGUAGAAGGCCUUCAUAGAAGUAUUGAAGUAGCAACUCUUCCUUCAUUUGAUGUUGUGGACAAGAAGCAACAAGUGUUUUAAAACGUUCUCCAAGAACGCUCAUUUCAUACUUUCCCACGAUGUGACUGUCCCAGGUGCAAGUUCAUACAACCAAUCUUUAGCUUUAUCCAUUAGAGAGAAUGGAAAAGCCUUCAUCUUCAAGAUGCUGCCAUCAACAUUGACAGGGGUCAUGCUCGAACAAACCACUUCAAAUUCCUUCAAGUGCUUAUUAGGGUCCUCCAUGGACAGCCCAUGAAACUUUGGGAUGUGGUGCAGUAAGCUAGACUUCAAUUUGAUCUCCUCGAUCUUGCCUUGAGCUGCCAUGGGAUAUUGAAUGCAUAAGGGUGCGGCAUUGUCCAAUCCCGAAGUCGAAAGCUCCUUGAUUGUUCGGUUGUCGGCUGCUAUGAUUGGUGCUUCCUAAAAAAUCCCAGCCGUGCCCCUCUCUUCUUCUUCUAAAACUUGUUCUUCAAGGUUAGGUUCAGGCCUAGGUAGGUUAGACUCUUGUUGGUUCCUCCUCCUUCUCAAAGUUCUCUCAAAAUCGUCGUCAAAGUCCAAAAUAUGCUCACGCACAGGUUGGGAACUUCGAGUCAUACACUAGUACCUAAAAACAAAAAAACCAAACAAGUCAGUAACUAAGAUAGAAAACAAACGAAAAUAAAAAGAAAUAACAAGGGAUUAGCAAAGUUGCUAAUCUCCAGCAACGGCACCAAAAUUUGAUGCGUAAAAUAACUAAACGCACAAAUUAAACCCUCUUGUUGACAAUUGUAGUAUAUGUAUAAGUAGGGAUCGUUCUUAAACCGGGGAUUAGGAGGGAUUGCUAAACACUCUAAACUGACUCAAAUAGAUAAAACUAAGCUGUAAAACACUUAACUAGACUCAAAAGACUCAAAACAAACUCAGAAGGCUCAAAACAAGCUAAAAACACUCAAAACUGCCUAAAAACACAAAUUGGGCAGUUUUGAGUUCUAAACACAAUUUUGGACGAAAUUUGGUUUUCUAAUAGCUCAAAACACUUAAAACACAAUCUAAGACAAGUUCUAACUAAUAUGACUUAACAAAGUAAAAGGGGGUUUGAUUUUGGACAAAAAUAAGUAAAACAAAGCAAGAACAAUUUAAACAGAUUCUUAAGCAAAUUUAGGUGAAUUAAUGAGAUAUGGGGUAACUAGAGGGUUCUUCUCCACACAUGACACACUUGCAUUCAAAUUUGAUUUCCAAUUGCUUCUUUCAAUAACCCAUGAACCUCAAUGCCCUAGGUUAACUGUGAUAGCACUUUUUUUUAACCUUCAAGUCUUCCUUAAGUUAUUGAAUUGGAUGGGAAUGCACAUACAACAACUCAAAUCAUUCUCUAAAAGUACCUUACGUGGAAAGCACAAUAAAGGUACAAUCAAAGAUCAUUAAGUUUCAUGAAAACUAUAAGCAUUGACGAGGCAAUUGUUACUAUGAAAAGCAUGAAACUUUUGCCAAGAAUUCACUUAACGCGAUCGUUUAUAAGCGACCUCCACUACUUGCAAAUAUAAGGUUGUAACUAUUAGUUGAAACUUCCUUAUAUUUUAGCUUCAAAUCCCUGCAUGAAAACUAAGUUGGCCACCUUAAUCAACACAUAAGAAUAAGUCAUCAAUCACACGGUUAAGCAAAUUGAAUUCACAAUUCAUGAAAUAACAAUUAGAAGUAAUCAAUUCAUCUUGCAAGCAUAAUCAUGGUAUUGAAUAGCCCUCUAGCCAAAAAGGCUUAGUUCCUGAUGUUCACAAAACAAAGGAAAACAGAUUUGUACAUUGUAAACACAAGAAAAAGAACACCUAAAUGCUCUAACGAUCCAAUGUUGAACAGCUAGAACCUUCAAGCACUUCCUCUUCCUCUCCUUUGCUGUGGCACAAGGGUUGGUGGUGAGUUUAGGGGGUUAUGGAUGGUGUAGAAGGAUGGAAUUAGGGUUACGAUGAAUGCAGGGGACGACAAGGGUUGUUUUAGGGCACAAAGUAUGGUGAAUGGUGAAGUAUGGAUGUGGCAUAGUGUAUGGAUUGAUUUCUGACGUGAAUGGGUGAGUGGAUGGAUGAUUUGUGGUUGCAAAAAGGGAGUUUAUUUAAAGGGUUCAUGAAUUAAAACCCUAGGUUAUUUAGGGUUAUAGAAAUUAAGUCUAAAGCUUCUCGAAAAUAGGAAACAAAAUCAGAAAACUAGAGGAAAGUGCAAGGGAUAUGCGGCAAGGCAUUAAAACACAAUAGGAAUGUGUUUUAAUGCAUAGAAACAGGAAAGAACCCUCUCCCUUGCACGGCAAGGAAGGGGAAAGGGCAAGGAGGUGCGGCAAGGCAUGGCAUUGUGCAAUGAGUGUGUAUUUGAUUUCCUAGAAUGCUUAAGAGGCCUUCAAAAUUGCUAAAACUUAGGGACACUUAGGAAAGGUCAAACCAUAGUAGGAAACCUUGGCUUAACUUUCCUACUUCAAGUAGGAAUCCUUCUUGGAAUAGGAAUCCUCAUUCUUCUAGGAAUCCUCAUUUGAUUAGGAAUCCAUCUUCAAUUAGGAAUCCUUCGUUGAUUAGGAAUCCUUCGUUCUUCAAAUCUUCAAUUUCGUACAUUCCUUUUGCUCCAAGCAUGUGAUAACCAUUCCAAGCCCAAUUUUGCUCCAAAAGGCUCCAAAAUGCAUCUUCUUGCAUACUUUGUCCUUAGAAUCUGAAAACACACGAAAAUGACUUUAAACACUAAAAUAACUAAGGAAACACAACAUAAAUGCACAAGAACAAGCCAACUAAGUCGCAUAAAAAUGCUCCUAUCAAAUUGAAGAAGUUUAUCAUUAUCUAAGGACGAACCGAAGUUUGUUUGGGCAGAUUGUGGUGGAGGUUGUAAUGGUGUAUAUGGCCUUGGAAACAUCCCAGGGGGUGGUUGUUGAAACCCUCCUUGUUGUUGAGGUUGUUAAGGCUCUCUCCAUUUGAAGUUUGGAUGAUCUCUCCAGCUUGGAUUGUAAGUGUUAGAGUAUGGAUCAUUUCGUGGCUAAUUUUGGCCUUGAUAGCCCACGACAUGGGCAGUUUCCCAUCCUCCAUUCUCAAUCAAUUGAGGGCAUUGGUCAUUGAGAUGUCUUUGCAUCGAACACACUCCACAUAUGGCCGCACCUUGCAUCUUGGAUCCAUCCACAACCUGUGACAUAAGAAAAGUAAGGUUAGCUAAUUGUGAUUGAAUUUCAGAAAUUGUACUUACCUCAUUCACUUGGGGUUGUUGCCGUGGGGGUUCCCUUUGUCCAACACCUUCAUAUUGUUAUGCAUUCAAGGCUCGAUUGGCAAUUAAAGUCUUGGUAGCCACCGGUGUUUUGUCAACCAACACUCGUCCCGCUGAGGCAUCUAGUAUUUGUCGUUCAAUGGGAAUAAGUACUUCGUAGAAAUAUUGAAUGAGAAGCUCUUCUUUCAUUUGAUGUUGAGGACACGAUGCAAUAAGAGCCUUGACAUGCUCAUAAUAGGUUGGAAACGAUUCUCAUUGAUUUUGUGGAAUGGCACUAAUCCGCUUCUUCAAAAGAAUGAUUCUUAAUGUAGGAAAGAACUUCUCUAAGAAUGCUCUUUUCAUGCUCUCCCAAUAUGUGACGGUUCCAGGUGCCAAUUCAUACAACCAAUCGUUAGCCUUGUCCAUUAGUGAGAAUAUAAAAGGUUCCAUCUUCAAUAUGCUUCCAUCGACGUUGAAUGGGGUCAUGCUUGAACAAACCACUUCAAAUUCCUUCAAAUGCUUGUUUGGAUCCUCCAUGGACAGCCCAUGGUACUUUUGAAUGUGAUGCAACAAACUA
rnacentral:lncRNA from 1 species